rnacentral:rRNA from 1 species
GUGUCAGCAGCCGCGGUAAUACGUAUGGGGCAAGCGUUGUUCGGAGUUAUUGGGCGUAAAGGGCGUGUAGGCGGCUCAUCAAGUCUGGUGUGAAAUUGCAGGGCUCAACCCUGCAGGUGCGCUGGAAACUGGUGGGCUAGAGUUCUUGAGGGGAAGCUGGAAUUCCAGGUGUAGGGGUGAAAUCUGUAGAUAUCUGGAAGAACACCGGUGGCGAAGGCGAGCUUCUAUCAGAGGACUGACGCUGAGGCGCGAAAGCGUGGGGAGCAAACAGGAUUAGAUACCCUGGUAGUCCACGCUGUAAACGAUGUGCACUAGGCGUGGGGCACGUACGUGCUCUGUGCCGUAGCCAACGCGAUAAGUGCACCGCCUGGGGAGUAUGCUCGCAAGGGUGAAACUCAAAGGAAUUGACGGGG